UAAUUUGCAAUUUAAAUAAGUGCUUACAGAAUUUUGUAAGGUAAAAGGGAAAUUAGUGAAAGACUAAUGCAGCCCCCGCUACUGUAAUAGCUGAUGAAAUCACAAUGAAUCACUGUCGUAAAGAUGGGAAGAAGUGAAAGUAAAAGGAAGCUUAAGCCAGGAAACCUGCUUAUUUAAACGAUACUUAC
rnacentral:ncRNA from 19 species